GACGAACGCUGGCGGCGUGCCUAAUACAUGCAAGUCGAGCGGAGCGGCGGACGGGUGAGUAAUGCCUAGGAAUCUGCCUGGUAGUGGGGGAUAACGUCCGGAAACGGGCCCUAAUACCGCAUACUAUCAGAUCAGCCUAGGUCGGAUUGGCUAGUUGGUGGGGUAAAGGCCUACCAAGGCGCCGAUCCGUAACUGGUCUGAGUGGAUGAUCAGUUACGCGGGAACUGAGACACGGUCCAGACGCCUACGGGAGGCAGCAGUGGGGAAUAUUGGACAAUGGGCGAAAGCCUGAACCAGCCAUGCCGCGUGUGUGAAGAAGGUCUUCGGAUUGUAAAGCACUUUAAGUUGGGAGGCGUUACCAACAGAAUAAGCACCGGCUAACUACGUGCCAGCCGCCGCGGUAAUUC
rnacentral:rRNA from 1 species